UGGGGAAUCUUGGACAAUGGGGGCAACCCUGAUCCAGCCAUGCCGCGUGAGUGAUGAAGGCCUUAGGGUCGUAAAGCUCUUUCGCCUGUGAAGAUAAUGACGGUAGCAGGUAAAGAAACCCCGGCUAACUCCGUGCCAGCAGCCGCGGUAAUACGGAGGGGGUUAGCGUUGUUCGGAAUUACUGGGCGUAAAGCGCACGUAGGCGGACCAGAAAGUUGGGGGUGAAAUCCCGGGGGCUCAACCCCGGAACUGCCUCCAAAACUAUUGGUCUAGAGUUCGAGAGAGGUGAGUGGAAUUCCAAGUGUAGAGGUGAAAUUCGUAGAUAUUUGGAGGAACACCAGUGGCGAAGGCGGCUCACUGGCUCGAUACUGACGCUGAGGUGCGAAAGUGUGGGGAGCAAACAGGAUUAGAUACCCUGGGUAGUCCACACCGUAAAACGAUGAAUGCCAGUCGUCGGGUAGCAUGCUAUUCGGUGACACACCUAACGGAUUAAGCAUUCCGCC
rnacentral:rRNA from 1 species